ACCCUAGCACCACAGCACACCGGACGCACAGCCUCUGCGUCCGAUGCCUCAACGGUCAGCGUCCGGUGAGUGUUUCUCUGCAAGGAACACUCCCGCGACUUCUCCAAAAUUUCCACUGGCGUAAUAGAAAAUAUGCACUUCAUUUUCUCAAAAAGUGCCGAACCCAUCCUCUCUCUACCCUUCAAAAUCCACCUCCUUCUCAAAGUGUGCCAACACCACAAUGUGUAAACCAACAUGUGCACAUGUGUUAGCAAUUUCACAAUCAUUUUUCUUUGAAGGAGUUAAGUUAGCUCACUAGGUUCCAAAUGCAUGCACAUGAACAAUGACACCUAGUGGCACUUGAUAACCGCUUAGCCGAAGAAUUCCCCUCUUUAUAGUACGGCUAUCUAUCCUAAAUGUGAUCACAUCCUCUAUGGUGUCUUGAUCACCAAAACCAAAACCCUAAGCAAUACCUUUGCCUUGAUCUCCAUAGGGUUUUGUUUUUCUCUUUCUUCUUUUCCAAGUUGAGCACUUGAUCAUCUUGUGGUCAUCACCAUGAUCAUCACUUGCUCCAUCACUUGGCAUGUACCAACCUCAUUAAGUCUACACACACUUAGUAUAGAGGUUAGUACUAGGGUUUCAUCAAUUAUCCAAAACCAAACUAGGGCUUUCAAUCUCCCUCUUUUUGGUAAUUGAUGACAACCCUUUUUACAAAGAUUUUCAAUAAAAUUUUCUUAGAUUCAUGUUGCUUGUCCAAGCAUUUUACCAUGCACAAAGAUUAUGGACAUGUUUCAUAAACCCAAAAUGGUAGCAAUUGCUCCCCCUACAUAUGUGCUAAGAGUUUGGAUUUGAAAGCUUGCACAUAUCCUUGAAUAGGAAAUAUAGGAGUCAAUUUCUACCAAAUGAUGCUAAGGUGUAAAGAAUGGACCUUUGAAGUGUGAUACCAAUCGGAGUUGCCAAUAUACACCAUCCUUAGCACCAUUAGUAACUAGACAUUCAUAAAACUAGAACACCCCGUGAGAUCAACAUUAUAAACAAGUUUCUAGUACCACUUGUGAAACAACUAAAAGUCUAGUUACACUACCUAUGCAUGCUAGUCUCUUUUUUGUUUUUUUUGUGUGUCUACCUGCCGCUGAUUGAGCUAUUUUUUGUUUUUUUUUGUUUUCUUUGUGUGUGUGUGUCUACGCCUGCUGCUUAUUGAGCUGUUAUUUUUUUCUCGUGCAUUUGAUUUUAUGUAGUUGUUAUUUGGAAUGUAUAAUGCUAGAUUUGAGGAUGCCUUUGUUAUUUUUGGCUCAAUGUCUUUUUUUUAUUUGUAUGAGAUUUGUUAUAAAAUUUUUGAGUACUCUGUGCUGAUCCUUUGUUUUUUUAGCUCAAUGUGUCUUUCUUUAUUUGUAUGAGAUUUAUUAGAAAUUUUCUAGAGUAUUUUGUCAUGUUUAUUUGUUCCCAGGGUCUCUGUCUCUCUCUCUCUAUGCGUCUGUGUGUGUGUCUUUGUGUGUGUUUCUCUAUUUUUGUGGGGUGUGGGCGGGUGGGUGCUACCUUUUGUGAGAAUAUGAGUGCAUCUCCCUCUGAUUGAUUUAUGUUUUUGGUGAAAUGCGGAUGUAUGAUAUAUUCCAGCUCCCCUAACCAAGAUUCAUGUUGAAGUCUUUUUCUCUGCUACCAUGUCUUCUAAGGCCCCUGAGAUUACCCGCAAGUUCAUGAAUAACAACUUAUUGACCUGUUAGCAAGAACUUAGCAACUACAAGUUCCUAGAUCGGAAUUUGGACUCAGAGUGUCCUUACUCCUUAUUUACCAAAUCUUAGAGUUUACAUGUUUUAAUUUUUAGAUGUGGUGAUUAUUUGAUUUUGUGAGGGAGCAUUAGAAGGUGUUUGUUGAGAUUAGUUUUUUAGUUGUUGCUGUCAUAGUUGUUUGCUAGCUUUGAUUUAUUUGCUAGCUUGAAUUUAUUUCUUGGUAAUUUAUAUGCUUAUUCUUUUGUGGUUUGUUUUCAUGUUUUGUGAUUUCUAUUUUUUUCUUGGUGCAAUUAUACUUUGAAUAUGUUGUGGGUGGGGUGCUGUGGGCCAGUGGGGGCUUUUUCUUUGCCAUUUGUGUUGGUUGGUUGUUUGGAUACCUAUUCAGGACCAGAGGUAGUAGUCUGCUAUUCUUCCACCUAUCUUCUAUGUGGCUAUGGUUCCGUUUUGUUUUAUUUUCUGGGUGUCUUGUAAGUUGCUAUAUGAAUGGGUGACAUUUAGAGCUAUCGCGUUAUUUGUUCUGAAUGGCAGUUAUAUUUAUGUUUCCUUUCUUUGUUGGCUGUAGUGCAGUCCUACAUCGCUAUAUCUGUGGUGGAUGGCUGGAUGCUUGAAUUUUUUUCAAGUAAUUUAUACGCAUGUUCUUUGUCAUAGUUGCUUGAAUCUUUUUUAGGUAAUUUAUAUGCUUGUUCUUUGUGGUAACAGAGAUCUAGGUAUUUUGGAUCAACUAUGUAAUUCUUCACCAAACCAAAGAAUUACAAGGUUUUGCAUGCACUGCAAUCUGCUAUCGAGCACAGUGUGGGUAGCAGCAGCAAAAAGCAGCGCUGCAUUUUUUGUUAUUGGGUUGUGGAUCUUUUUGAUGGAUAUGCCUUGUGUAAUAAAAGUUGACAGAUUUUUUGUUGGAUCAUCUGUCAGUUUUUUUCCUGCUGACGUUUCAGCUUUUCAUUUGUCAAAAAAUUUGACAAAUUUUUGGUAUCAAAAUCUAUCAACAGAUAUUUAGAUAGACCCAAAAAUAAUAAAGGAUAGUUAUCCCGAUUCAUUGAAGUGCACAUGUUGUUUACAGGAAACUAAAGAUAAUAAAGGAUAGUUAUUUCAAUCCACUGGAGCGCACGGCUUGUUUAAAAGAAACUAACGAAGCAUAGAUAAGAAAAGUAGAACAAAGAAUAUAAAAGAACAAAAUAGUAUAUUUCUUUUUUUGUCAAUGUUGGAUGUAACCUCUACCGACCUUAGGAGGUGUUUUGGUGGGAUGUGUUAAAAUUUAAUAGGUACUGUAAUAUUCAUUUUAUUUGACAAUUAGUGUUCAAUCAUAGACUAAUUAGAUUUAAAAGAUUCGUCUCAUAAAUUAUUUUCUUUAUUUAUUUUUAGUUUCAUAAAUAAUAUAUAUAUUUAGUGCUCCAUGCAUGUGUCCAAAUAUUUAAUAUGAUGAGAGUUAAAAAAAUAAGGAGGAAUCAAACAGGACCUUAACCCCAUGUAUAUAGGAUGAUCUAGACUUUGAUCUUACAGAUGACUGCUUCCUCUAUCUGUCCGAUUCCUCAGCAUGUGCAUGCCGCAAUGCGCAUGACAGGCUUGGUCUUUGCAUCGCUAUCUUCCAGCGAACGUGUUUGGUUGAGAAAAUAUCUAGUGCAAACUCAAUUAUAAGUACAAACCUGCAAACUUAGAUCGUGCAUCACUUGAUACCAGAUGUGUGGCGUAUAGAGUCUUAUGGCACAUUUUGUAUCUACCUCCCCACAGUGCCUCUGUGCCUUUUCCAAUGUGAACCCUGAACUAGAGAGAAAAUAUGUUGCCACCUCAAUUUGAAUCGAUUCCUCAUAUGUUCCUUGCAACUGAAGCUUCCUUCCCACCUAAGUUUCCUUUGCUGGUACUGUAGGUACCUGAGUUUCUCCUCUGCUUGACACCCCUCCAUUGAUCUCAUACUUUACCCCAAUUCUAGAAGACCUAGGGAUUCUGUUCUUCUUCAUUGGGGUUGUCCAAGGCAGUGGACGUCUCGCCGACAUCACAAUACAUGAGUUCUGCCUCCUACAUAGCAUCUAUUUACAGUAAGAUACUAAGAUCAUUCCACCUUCACCCAUUAUUGCUACUCUUUG
rnacentral:lncRNA from 1 species